GAUGAACGCUGGCGGCAGGCUUAACACAUGCAAGUCGAGCGGAGAUGAGGUGCUUGCACCUUAUCUUAGCGGCGGACGGGUGAGUAAUGCUUAGGAAUCUGCCUAUUAGUGGGGGACAACAUUCCGAAAGGAAUGCUAAUACCGCAUACGUCCUACGGGAGAAAGCAGGGGAUCUUCGGACCUUGCGCUAAUAGAUGAGCCUAAGUCGGGUUAGCUAGUUGGCGGGGUAAAGGCCUACCAAGGCGACGAUCUGUAGCGGGUCUGAGAGGAUGAUCCGCCACACUGGGACUGAGAAACGGCCCAGACUCCUACGGGAGGCAGCAGUGGGGAAUAUUGGACAAUGGGGGGAACCCUGAUCCAGCCAUGCCGCGUGUGUGAAGAAGACCUUAUGGUUGUAAAGCACUUUAAGCGAGGAGGAGGCUACUGAGACUAAUACUCUUGGAUAGUGGACGUUACUCGCAGAAUAAGCACCGGCUAACUCUGUGCCAGCAGCCGCGGUAA
rnacentral:rRNA from 1 species